GAUCUAGCUGCAAUAUCUAUCAACCCAUUGAUCUACAGGUUUGAUUCAGAAAAUCUGGCUGGCUAGAUGGGUAUUUCCUUC
rnacentral:snRNA from 1 species